AGAUUAGAUAAUGUCACUAAAGUCUAUCUUUGGCAUAAUUGACUUUCUUUUAUUGGAAAGGGUGAAUGAGCCAGUAAUAUUUUGAGUUUGAUACAUAUUGAUGUAUUUGUACUCAUGAACAUAAGUGCCAGAAGAGGGCUUUACUGCAUUAAAAUUUUAGACGAUCUAUCUUGGUAUGGGUGUGUUUUGCUUGUAAAGCACAAGUUCGAAUGAUUUAAAAUGUUCAAAUGAUUCUAUAAUGAGGU
rnacentral:lncRNA from 1 species